UCCAGGUUGCCAUUCCCUGCUGUUCCCGAAUAAACCCACUUCCGCUGGUAAGAUAGCCGGCAGUUUUAUUUUUAACAUUACUUGUGAUCAGAAGUGAGAUCCAGAAGACUCCCAACAACUCCGAGGCUGCUGGACCCACAGAGCCAACUGAGCGUACUGCUUUCCUACCCACCCUGGAGUUUGAGGGACUGAGAUGCUUCCCUGCUUGAACGUAAGGAGCAGUAAGUGCCGAGAGCUGACCCGGACCUGACUGAGACCUCAUCUCAGCCGCCGCCCACAGACGGACUUCGUGUUUGGUUUGUGAACUCCCUACCCCCUUGUUAUCUUGUUUGUUGUGUGCCGUAUAAGAAGCCAAGUUAAUCACAUGGUGAAGUAUCACUGAGGCUGGAAUCCUAAACCUGCUUUAUAUUAACCUUGCUUUCUGAUUGAAUAAAGCGGACACUGGGGAAAGACA